ensembl:snRNA U6 U6 spliceosomal RNA
GCUCACUUUGGCGGUGCAUAUACUAAAAUCAGAACAAAACAGAAAACAUUAGCAUGGCCUUUGUGCAAGGAUGACAUGCAAACUGAUGAAGCAUUCCAUAUUUUU